UACAGAGGGGGCAAGCGUUGUUCGGAAUUACUGGGCGUAAAGGGCGCGUAGGCGGCCCGCUAAGUCGAACGUGAAAUCCCCGGGCUUAACCCGGGAACUGCGUCCGAUACUGGCAGGCUUGAAUCCGGGAGAGGGAUGUGGAAUUCCAGGUGUAGCGGUGAAAUGCGUAGAUAUCUGGAGGAACACCGGUGGCGAAGGCGGGUCUCUGGGCCGAUACUGACGCUGAGGAGCGAAAGCGUGGGGAGCGAAUAGG
rnacentral:rRNA from 1 species